AUCUGCGAUAAGCGCCGGUAAGGUGAUAUGAACCGUUAUAACCGGCGAUACCCGAAUGGGGAAACCCAGUGUGACUCGUCACACUAUCAUUAACUGAAUCCAUAGGUUAAUGAGGCGAACCGGGGGAACUGAAACAUCUAAGUACCCCGAGGAAAAGAAAUCAACCGAGAUUCCCCCAGUAGCGGCGAGCGAACGGGGAGGAGCCCAGAGCCUGAAUCAGCAUGUGUGUUAGUGGAAGCGUCUGGAAAGGCGCGCGAUACAGGGUGACAGCCCCGUACACAAAAGCGCAUGUGCUGUGAGCUCGAUGAGUAGGGCGGGACACGUGGUAUCCUGUCUGAAUAUGGGGGGACCAUCCUCCAAGGCUAAAUACUCCUGACUGACCGAUAGUGAACCAGUACCGUGAGGGAAAGGCGAAAAGAACCCCGGCGAGGGGAGUGAAAAAGAACCUGAAACCGUGUACGUACAAGCAGUGGGAGCCCCACCACCAAAGCAUUUGCUGUACCGCGUUGACGGAGCGAAGCGACGUCAAACCGAUAAAACAGCAGUGUAAAGUGAGCCGCAGGGCGCUUUGCGCGACAGCGCAAAGGCAGGCGGUUUCGCGUAGCGAAAGCGAAUGCUUUGGGGUGGGGUGACUGCGUACCUUUUGUAUAAUGGGUCAGCGACUUAUAUUCUGUAGCAAGGUUAACCGAAUAGGGGAGCCGGAGGGAAACCGAGUCUUAACCGGGCGUUAAGUUGCAGGGUAUAGACCCGAAACCCGGUGAUCUAGCCAUGGGCAGGUUGAAGGUUGGGUAACACUAACUGGAGGACCGAACCGACUAAUGUUGAAAAAUUAGCGGAUGACCUGUGGCUGGGGGUGAAAGGCCAAUCAAACCGGGAGAUAGCUGGUUCUCCCCGAAAGCUAUUUAGGUAGCGCCUCGUGAAUUCAUCUCCGGGGGUAGAGCACUGUUUCGGCUAGGGGGCCAUCCCGGCUUACCAACCCGAUGCAAACUGCGAAUACCGGAGAAUGUUAUCACGGGAGACACACGGCGGGUGCUAACGUCCGUCGUGAAGAGGGAAACAACCCAGACCGCCAGCUAAGGUCCCAAAGUCAUGGUUAAGUGGGAAACGAUGUGGGAAGGCCCAGACAGCCAGGAUGUUGGCUUAGAAGCAGCCAUCAUUUAAAGAAAGCGUAAUAGCUCACUGGUCGAGUCGGCCUGCGCGGAAGAUGUAACGGGGCUAAACCAUGCACCGAAGCUGCGGCAGCGACACUGUGUGUUGUUGGGUAGGGGAGCGUUCUGUAAGCCUGUGAAGGUGUGUCGUGAGGCAUGCUGGAGGUAUCAGAAGUGCGAAUGCUGACAUAAGUAACGAUAAAGCGGGUGAAAAGCCCGCUCGCCGGAAGACCAAGGGUUCCUGUCCAACGUUAAUCGGGGCAGGGUGAGUCGACCCCUAAGGCGAGGCCGAAAGGCGUAGUCGAUGGGAAACGGGUUAAUAUUCCCGUACUUGGUGUUACUGCGAAGGGGGGACGGAGAAGGCUAUGUUGGCCGGG
rnacentral:rRNA from 1 species